rnacentral:rRNA from 1 species
GUAAGCUACUAAGAGCGAAUGGUGGAUGCCUUGACUGGUAAAGGCGAUGAAGGACGUACUAGACUGCGAUAAGCUACGGGGAGCUGUCAAGAAGCUUUGAUCCGUAGAUUUCCGAAUGGGGCAACCCAAUGUAUAGAGAUAUACAUUACCUAUAUAGGAGCGAACGAGGGGAAUUGAAACAUCUUAGUACCCUCAGGAAAAGAAAUCAAUAGAGAUUGCGUCAGUAGCGGCGAGCGAAAGCGCAAGAGGGCAAACCCAGUGCUUGCACUGGGGGUUGUAGGACUGCAAUGUGCAAGAGGUGAGUUUAGCAGAACAUUCUGGAAAGUAUAGCCAUAGAGGGUGAUAGUCCCGUAUGCGAAAAACAAACCUUAGCUAGCAGUAUCCUGAGUAGGGCGGGACACGAGAAAUCCUGUCUGAAGCUGGGUCGACCACGAUCCAACCCUAAAUACUAAUACCAGAUCGAUAGUGCACAAGUACCGUGAGGGAAAGGUGAAAAGAACUGAGGUGAUCAGAGUGAAAUAGAACCUGAAACCAUUUGCUUACAAUCAUUCAGAGCACUAUGUAGCAAUACAGUGUGAUGGACUGCCUUUUGCAUAAUGAGCCUGCGAGUUGUGGUGUCUGGCAAGGUUAAGCAAACGCGAAGCCGUAGCGAAAGCGAGUCUGAAUAGGGCGCUUAGUCAGAUGCUGCAGACCCGAAACGAAGUGAUCUAUCCAUGAGCAAGUUGAAGCUAGUGUAAGAACUAGUGGAGGACUGAACCCAUAGGCGUUGAAAAGCCCCGGGAUGACUUGUGGAUAGGGGUGAAAGGCCAAUCAAACUUCGUGAUAGCUGGUUCUCUCCGAAAUAUAUUUAGGUAUAGCGUUGUGUCGUAAUAUAAGGGGGUAGAGCACUGAAUGGGCUAGGGCAUACACCAAUGUACCAAACCCUAUCAAACUCCGAAUACCUUAUAUGUAAUCACAGCAGUCAGGCGGCGAGUGAUAAAAUCCGUCGUCAAGAGGGAAACAACCCAGACUACCAGCUAAGGUCCCUAAAUCUUACUUAAGUGGAAAACGAUGUGAAGUUACUUAAACAACCAGGAGGUUGGCUUAGAAGCAGCCAUCCUUUAAAGAAAGCGUAAUAGCUCACUGGUCUAGUGAUUUUGCGCGGAAAAUAUAACGGGGCUAAAGUAAGUACCGAAGCUGUAGACUUGACUUUGUCAAGUGGUAGGAGAGCGUUCUAUUUGCGUCGAAGGUAUACCGGCAAGGAGUGCUGGAGCGAAUAGAAGUGAGCAUGCAGGCAUGAGUAGCGAUAAUUAAUGUGAGAAUCAUUAACGCCGUAAACCCAAGGUUUCCUACGCGAUGCUCGUCAUCGUAGGGUUAGUCGGGUCCUAAGUCGAGUCCGAAAGGGGUAGACGAUGGCAAAUUGGUUAAUAUUCCAAUACCAACAUUAGUGUGCGAUGGAAGGACGCUUAGGGCUAAGGGGGCUAGCGGAUGGAAGUGCUAGUCUAAGGUCGUAGGUGCUUAUACAGGCAAAUCCGUAUAAGAAUACACCGAGAACUGAAAGGCUUUUUGAAGUCUUCGGAUGGAUAGAAGAACCCCUGAUGCCGUCGAGCCAAGAAAAGUUUCUAAGUUUAGCUAAUGUUGCCCGUACCGUAAACCGACACAGGUGGGUGGGAUGAGUAUUCUAAGGCGCGUGGAAGAACUCUCUUUAAGGAACUCUGCAAAAUAGCACCGUAUCUUCGGUAUAAGGUGUGGUUCGCUUCGUAUUAGGAUUUACUCCGAAAGCGAAGAAACUUACAACAAAGAGUCCCUCCCGACUGUUUACCAAAAACACAGCACUCUGCUAACUCGUAAGAGGAUGUAUAGGGUGUGACGCCUGCCCGGUGCUCGAAGGUUAAUUGAUGGGGUUAGCAUUAGCGAAGCUCUUGAUCGAAGCCCGAGUAAACGGCGGCCGUAACUAUAACGGUCCUAAGGUAGCGAAAUUCCUUGUCGGUUAAAUACCGACCUGCAUGAAUGGCGUAACGAGAUGGGAGCUGUCUCAAAGAGGGAUCCAGUGAAAUUGUAGUGGAGGUGAAAAUUCCUCCUACCCGCGGCAAGACGGAAAGACCCCGUGGACCUUUACUACAGCUUGACACUGCUACUUGGAUAAGAAUGUGCAGGAUAGGUGGGAGGCUUUGAGUAUAUGACGCCAGUUGUAUAUGAGCCAUUGUUGAGAUACCACUCUUUCUUAUUUGGGUAGCUAACCAGCUUGAGUUAUCCUCAAGUGGGACAAUGUCUGGUGGGUAGUUUGACUGGGGCGGUCGCCUCCCAAAUAAUAACGGAGGCUUACAAAGGUUGGCUCAGAACGGUUGGAAAUCGUUCGUAGAGUAUAAAGGUAUAAGCCAGCUUAACUGCAAGACAUACAAGUCAAGCAGAGACGAAAGUCGGUCUUAGUGAUCCGGUGGUUCUGUGUGGAAGGGCCAUCGCUCAAAGGAUAAAAGGUACCCCGGGGAUAACAGGCUGAUCUCCCCCAAGAGCUCACAUCGACGGGGAGGUUUGGCACCUCGAUGUCGGCUCAUCGCAUCCUGGGGCUGGAGCAGGUCCCAAGGGUAUGGCUGUUCGCCAUUUAAAGCGGUACGCGAGCUGGGUUCAGAACGUCGUGAGACAGUUCGGUCCCUAUCUGCCGUGGGCGUAAGAAGAUUGAAGAGAUUUGACCCUAGUACGAGAGGACCGGGUUGAACAAACCACUGGUGUAGCUGUUGUUCUGCCAAGAGCAUCGCAGCGUAGCUAAGUUUGGAAAGGAUAAACGCUGAAAGCAUCUAAGCGUGAAGCCAACUCUAAGAUGAAUCUUCUCUAAGCUCUCUAGAAGACUACUAGUUUGAUAGGCUGGGUGUGUAAUGGAUGAAAGUCCUUUAGCUGACCAGUACUAAUAGAGCGUUUGGCUUAUCUUUA